rnacentral:sRNA from 1 species
GAUUACAGUGUGAAAAAUUCAUUAUCCUACCUGUGCUUGCACAAUGGUUGGAUAAUGAACUUGAGACACGCCCGAAUAUGAGCAUAAAAGUGGAGCGUAAGCUUCACGAUAUGCGAAUUUCGUGGCAGAUUGUGAAAGUGCUAAGCACAUAGCAAUCCGUA